rnacentral:rRNA from 1 species
UACGAAGGGGGCUAGCGUUGCUCGGAAUCACUGGGCGUAAAGGGUGCGUAGGCGGGUCUUUAAGUCAGGGGUGAAAACCUGGAGCUCAACUCCAGAACUGCCUUUGAUACUGAAGAUCUUGAGUCCGGGAGAGGUGAGUGGAACUGCGAGUGUAGAGGUGAAAUUCGUAGAUAUUCGCAAGAACACCAGUGGCGAAGGCGGCUCACUGGCCCGGUACUGACGCUGAGGUGCGAAAGCGUGGGGAGCAAACAGG